rnacentral:tRNA from 1 species
GUACUCUACGUUUUUGCUGGUGUGUAUCAUGGUGGUCAGUACUUGCUUAAGAUUCAGCUUAAUGGUUUGUACA